rnacentral:rRNA from 1 species
CAGCCGUAAACUAUGCUCGCUAGGUGUCAGGCAUGGCGCGACCGUGUCUGGUGCCGCAGGGAAGCCGUGAAGCGAGCCACCUGGGAAGUACGGCCGCAAGGCUGAAACUUAAAGGAAUUGGCGGGGGAGCAUCACAACGGGUGGAGCCUGCGGUUUAAUUGGACUCAACGCCGGGAAGCUCACCGGAUAAGACAGCGGAAUGAUUGCCGGGCUGAAGACUCUGCAUGACUAGCUGAGAGGAGGUGCAUGGCGUAGACGUCU